rnacentral:rRNA from 1 species
AGUGGCGAACGGGUGCGUAACACGUGAGAAACCUGCCCCGAACUUGGGAAUAACAGUCGGAAACGACUGCUAAUACCGAAUACCUUCGCAGCGUCGCAUGGCGCAGCGAAGAAAGCUCCGGCGGUUUGGGAGGGUCUCGCGGCCUAUCAGCUUGUUGGUGAGGUAACGGCUCACCAAGGCAUCGACGGGUAGCUGGUCUGAGAGGAUGAUCAGCCACACUGGAACUGAGACACGGUCCAGACUCCUACGGGAGGCAGCAGUGGGGAAUAUUGCACAAUGGGCGCAAGCCUGAUGCAGCGAUGCCGCGUGCGGGAAGAAGGCCCUAGGGUUGUAAACCGCUUUCAGCAGGGAAGAAAAUGACGGUACCUGCAGAAGAAGGUGCGGCCAACUACGUGCCAGCAGCCGCGGUGACACGUAGGCACCAAGCGU